ACCAGACAAAUAGUAGCACUGUGGUGUUUGCAUUCAUUGUAGCACAUUGGUAUUCCACCCAUUAAUUUUAGAAGUCUCUUAUCAUUUUAUUGUAUUAUAAUUGUUGUGCUUUUCUCUGUAGGAUCACACUUUUCUCUGUAGGAUCACACUUUGCCCCCUCUCCAAUAUCCGGUAAAUAUUCUAUUUCUAAGUGGUCAUGAUUUUGCAAGAGGAACAAAGGCUAACAACAGCCAUUUGAUCUGGAAUUGCUCAUCGUUUCUUUUACUACUUGUACCUGGCACUCCAAUGGAAGAAGAAAAACUGUUUUUGAGAGUAUUAUUUUUUCUAUGGUGAUGGCUCUUCAAAAACAUAUUUACUAGACUUCAGUAAAAUACCGUGAGUUUUUAGAAACUAAAACAUGACAGACUAGCUUCUUUUAUUUUAUUAUUUUCACCUGCUGGAGCCAGUUAUAUUCUCUCCACCAGAGAGCGCAAGUAUCACCAGAGGGGAUGGUGCUGGGAUGGAGAGAUUGCUGUACUUGGAAGCAAUAUUGUGAGCUGUCUUCCUCAAGGAUGACACUCUAGACAUGACGGGCAAUUCCAGCUACAUGAAGUUUUUUGCCUGUGGCUUAAUUUAGGCUGAGAGUUAACAUUGCGUCAAAAUGGUUAAGGCUUCCCAUGUUCAAGGAACUACUGGAGAGAUUCCUGCCUCUGCUUCUGAAUCUUGGGCUCCAGCCCAGGAGAUGCUGACUUCCCAGAGACGUGUGCUUCUCCCACACAAUACAAACACUCAUAUGCUCCUCAGACACAUGCUUGAGGACACUAAGACCAACUGGCUUUGGGACUGUUGGGCAUCAGAAAGAAGAAAGGACUUGACACCUGCCUGUGGAGCCUGCAAACCUCAGCAUGGUCUCUUCCUUCCAGCAGAAGCAUCCCUGGAUGCUAAUAACCCCAGCAGGUCUUAUUGCCUCAUAACUGCCUCAGUUUUAACACCAGUGGACUUCACCGGAGAUGUGCACAUUGCUGGAUGAGAGCCUGUGCCCUCAAAUAUCAGCUUAAGCCAAUGACUACACCAGGGCUCCAUGAUAUCGAAGAAUUGUAUCCAUCCUAGAUCUUGGACUGAUAAGACAUU
rnacentral:lncRNA from 1 species